CUCAUAUUUAAGAAAAGAGAAACAGAAAGUGUCCCUUUUCCCCUCUGCUCUUCCUCCAGCAGUGCAGUGUGGUCCACUGGCAAGAGAAGGUGACAGCAGAAGGCAUCCUCUAUAAGGGUGCUGCGAGGGAAGAACACUGUUAAGUGAGCCAUGUGAGUGAGGGAUUUAUCUCCUGCUUAUGAAACAGUCAGCUCCUUUCUCAGCUUCAAAGAGAACAAAACCCAAUGACAGCUCUGGAGAAGAUAUCACUGCCAAAGAAAAUGAAAGCAGCCUGGAAAUAUAAGCAUAAGACAGAGAAAAUACAACAGUCAGGGCAGAGAAUGUUAGCUCCAGGAAAAAAAUUGAAGAGAGGAAAAGGUCUGAAGAGCUCUUAUGUCAAGUCUAGAUUCUUUUCAGCUCUUUGUUAAAGCACCAAGAUAAACAGACCAGGGUGAACCUACUGGAAAAACAAACACAUGUGUAUACUUUAGACAUUGGAAAUAAGACAUCUGAUCAUCAAAACAAGCAUCAGCUGUGUGUGACUCUUUUGGCUCUCUGAAGAUCAAGAAGUCAAAUGGGUUUAAAGACUGGCUCUACUGUUAAGAGGACUUUGGGAGCCCAUUCACUAUGGAGGGAUACUAUUGCAGCCCAGAUACAGCAAGGAGGGCCUAGGCCCUCCCCCAAAUGA